GAUGAACGCUGGCGGCGUGCUUAACACAUGCAAGUCGAACGGUGAAGCAGGAGCUUGCUCUUGUGGAUCAGUGGCGAACGGGUGAGUAACACGUGAGCAACCUGCCCCUGACUCUGGGAUAAGCGCUGGAAACGGCGUCUAAUACUGGAUAUGUGAUGUGACCGCAUGGUCUGCAUCUGGAAAGAAUUUCGGUUGGGGCUGGGCUCGCGGCCUAUCAGCUUGUUGGUGAGGUAAUGGCUCACCAAGGCGUCGCCAGGUAGCCGGCCUGAGAGGGUGACCGGCCACACUGGGACUGAGACACGGCCCAGACUCCUACGGGAGGCAGCAGUGGGGAAUAUUGCACAAUGGGCGGAAGCCUGAUGCAGCAACGCCGCGUGAGGGAUGACGGCCUUCGGGUUGUAAACCUCUUUUAGCAGGGAAGAAGCAAAAGUGACGGUACCUGCAGAAAAAGCACCGGCUAACUACGUGCCAGCCGCCGCGGUAA
rnacentral:rRNA from 1 species